AAAAGGAUCACAAUGAUCAUCUAGUUUCAACCCUCUUGCUAUGUGCAGGGUUGCCAACCACUAGAACAGGCUGCCCAGAGCCACAUCCAGCCUGGCUUUGAAUGCCUCCAGGGAUUCCCAUUCUGAUAGGGAUGUUGUGCUCAUGACUGCACUAAUCAUUUUAAGGCGUUCAGUACUAUUGCGACAUUGGAGAGACACCUGAGAUACAAUUGUGAAGUGCAUAACAUCACUCAAGAUAGACUCCGGUGUAGAGCCUGGUCCCACGCACACUGCACAGCAGUGGCUUAGAGUCCCUUAGGUAUAGAUGACAGAGCCCUGUGAUUCAAAUUCCCUGACAUGCUUGAAGGCUGUUAUGCACCCAUCAAAAUAGAAUUUCCAAAUAUCUGCAUUACAUAGCGUGCACUGAAGAUGGAUUUUAUAAAUCAAUUUUGAUUCUUCCUGCAAAGUUCUUCGUGGACUUUGUUCUGAGAUCUUCCCACCACCUGAGACCACAACACUCACCCAAGAAGGAGAAAUGUAUGUUCCAAUCAAAAUAUUCACUUUCAUGCCCUUUGCAGUACUGCUAUACACACACAUGCCCCAGGCAGAUGCUUUGGCACUUGCGAAGACCUGCAUGGAGUCUUUCUGAAAGCUUCUCCUAGCAAAUUUGUGUCAACAGAAGGAAAUACUUCUCCAAAUUUAACAGUUCAUCAUAGAAGAGUCUAUUGCUGACUAGCAGAAAACAUUUCAAAGCUCUCUACCACUCUGAUGUGGACAGACUUCUACUUGCAACUUCUUCCUCUUUCAUUCUUUUAAAGAUGCAUAUUGGAUACUAGUAUAAAUGCCCUGAUAGGUCAGUCUAUUCUGAGGCAUACUUGAAAGCAAUCCUCCAAAAUCCAAGUGCAAACUUCACUGGCCAAGAGAUAUAUGAACUAUGUAAGUUUAACUGAUGGCUUUUCCUAGGAAAGACACCUUGGAUGAUUAAAUGAUAUUUCUACUUCAUUCUUAAUUCAAAACUGAUUAUUACGUAUGGAGUUAUUCACAUUACACUUCUCAUUUUGAAAAAUGAUGAUAAUGAGAGGCUGAAAACCUCUUUAAUGAUGCCAAAGAAGAGACACACAGAUAAUGUACUUGAACCACAGAGUGCAAUCUGAUGUUUUAAACUCAAUGAAACUCUUGUUCUUUCUGUUGACUUCCAAUGGGAAUUCUUAAAAUCUAAUAGUAUUGUAGCCAUUCAAGAGAGAGAAAUUGCUAUCUUGAAAGACUUAUAAUGUAGUGCAGUUUGUUGAGAUACAGAAGUGCAUCACACCUUGUAUGGAUGGUAUACUCUUUUCUUACACUUAAUGAAUAUCUGUUAAUUAACACUACAUAAUAUUGCAAAACCUGAGAGUAUAAUUUUUUGGACUUUUCAGUUCUUUCCUCUGAAAGGCAGUUUUGUAGCCACAGGUGUCUACAACAUGAAAUGGUAUUUUUUUUUAAUGUAUUUAUUUUUAUAGGCAGAACACCUUUUUUGUAAUAGGAAAAAAGGUCUGUAAUGUUGAUGAUCUAAGUUGACUACAGCAAAUUUGACACUGAUAACAAAUGAAGCACAGUGCACUACGCUUUGUAUUUAGCUUUCAGGGAAAUCAUGAUCUGCAGCAGCUUUAAAGGGUAAUUCUCACCUUCAGAGAAGAUUUUCAAUGCUCCCAUUAACAUUGAUCACAUUUGUAGUAGUCUCAGGCAUAAUACAUUAUUAAUAUCACCCUUUUCUGUUUUUUUAAUUGUUUGAAAAGAAACAAAGGAAAUUAAAUAGAAAUGUCUCCAUUAAAAUAACAGAAGUGGUCAGACUAAAAUCCACGAAAGACAGGAAAUCCAGAAUUAAAAGUCGGUACUCCCACUGAGCGUCUCCAGACAUCAGCUGAACUUGUUUGCUAUAUUUUGCAAUAUUGAGUCUUGGCACAAGCUCAAAAUAAGGUGACUUACAGAUGAGUCACCUCCUUCUAGCAGGUUUAAAGUCCAAACCUUAAUGCAUUUUUUGUGUACCAUACCAGUAAAUGUCUUGUAGAUCUCACUCCUUUAACACAUGCAAUUGUGCACAGGAAUUUCAUCUCCCAUAAAGAUGAAAUCAGGUUAAGAGGAAAAAAAAAAAAAAAUAAUAAAAAAAAAUUGUCAAGGGAUUUGACA
ensembl:lncRNA